UACGUAGGGGGCAAGCGUUGUCCGGAAUCAUUGGGCGUAAAGCGCGCGUAGGCGGCCCGGUAAGUCCGCUGUAAAAGUCCAGGGCUCAACCCUGGAAAGCCGGUGGAUACUGUCGGGCUAGAGUCCGGAAGAGGCGAGUGGAAUUCCUGGUGUAGCGGUGAAAUGUGCAGAUAUCAGGAAGAACACCCGUGGCUAAGGCGGUUCUCUAGUACGGUACUGACGCUGAGACGCGAAAGCGUGGGGAGCGAACAGG
rnacentral:rRNA from 1 species